GAUGAACGCUGGGCGGCGUGCCUAACACGAUGCAAGUCGAACGAAGCGUUGACGAAUAGAUUUUUCGGAAUGAAUUCUGAUAUGACUUAGUGGCGGACGGGUGAGUAACACGUGAGCAACCUGCCUUUCAGAGGGGGAUAACGGCUGGAAACGGUCGCUAAUACCGCAUAAGCCCACAGGUCGGCAUCGACCAGAGGGAAAAGGAGCAAUCCGCUUUGAGAUGGCCUCGCGUCCGAUUAGCUGGUUGGUGAGGUAACGGCCCACCAAGGCGACGAUCGGUAGCCGGACUGAGAGGUUGAACGGCCACAUUGGGACUGAGACACGGCCCAG
rnacentral:rRNA from 1 species